rnacentral:rRNA from 1 species
AUUGAACGCUGGCGGCAUGCCUUACACAUGCAAGUCGAACGGCAGCACGGGAGCAAUCCUGGUGGCGAGUGGCGAACGGGUGAGUAAUACAUCGGAACGUGCCCAAUCGUGGGGGAUAACGCAGCGAAAGCUGUGCUAAUACCGCAUACGAUCUACGGAUGAAAGCAGGGGGUCGCAAGACCUUGCGCGAAUGGAGCGGCCGAUGGCAGAUUAGGUAGUUGGUGAGGUAAAGGCUCACCAAGCCGUCGAUCUGUAGCUGGUCUGAGAGGACGACCAGCCACACUGGGACUGAGACACGGCCCAGACUCCUACGGGAGGCAGCAGUGGGGAAUUUUGAACAAUGGGCGAAAGCCUGAUCCAGCCAUGCCGCGUGCAGGAUGAAGGCCUUCGGGUUGUAAACUGCUUUUGUACGGAACGAAACGGCCUUUUCUAAUAAAGAGGGCUAAUGACGGUACCGUAAGAAUAAGCACCGGCUAACUACGUGCCAGCAGCCGCGGUAAUACGUAGGGUGCAAGCGUUAAUCGGAAUUACUGGGCGUAAAGCGUGCGCAGGCGGUUAUGUAAGACAGUUGUGAAAUCCCCGGGCUCAACCUGGGAACUGCAUCUGUGACUGCAUAGCUAGAGUACGGUAGAGGGGGAUGGAAUUCCGCGUGUAGCAGUGAAAUGCGUAGAUAUGCGGAGGAACACCGAUGGCGAAAGGCAAUCCCCUGGACCUGUACUGACGCUCAUGCACGAAAGCGUGGGGGAGCAAACAGG